rnacentral:misc_RNA from 1 species
CGAAGUGAGCGGAGCAAGCGAAAGAGCGGAGUGAGAGAAAUGAGCGAAAAAGCGGAGUGAGAGAAACGAGCGAAAAAGUGGGGUGAGAGAAACGAGUGAAAGAGCGGAAUGAGAGAAACAAGCGAAGCUAGUGAAGAGCUUAAGCAAGAUCGCUAAGGCGUCGUGUUCGCGACAAGUAGCGAAACGGCCGGAAUCUAUGUAUUGUCACACUACGAUCUGGACUUGCCGAGUGGGAAUGGGACUUCGCGUGAAAUCUAUCGUUCUUCCGCGGGAAAAUCGCGUCCGCUCAUCCGCAAUCGACAACCUGUGUAUUACCAUUUCCUGUCAGAUAGUAGACAUAUCGCUAAGUCAUCAUUGCAAGUAAGCAAACCUGCGGAGCGUCGACGACGAUCCCCGUCGAGAGAGCGCCGUCGUCAGUAGACCAGGUACACCCUUGCCAGUUCUUCGACAAAUCAAUCAACUGACGAAACGAAAGUCACUUCCGCUUUGCUUGUGUAUAGGUUGUACGAUAAUAGAAUAUUUUACCGUUUUAGUAGGACAACGACAAAUUAGCAGUUUAGUCGUUACUUGGACGAGUCAAACUAUCUUCGGUAUGGAAGUGCGUGCGAUUGCGACGAAGUUAGGCUGACCUAUCAUGACCAAAAACCGCCGAGAGAAAUUCAUUUCCCCAGUGGAGAGAUUAGGUAUAUAAAGGAGUCGAUCAACAGCAAUAUCGAACUGCGCGGUAUCCGAUGUGGUCCGGUGACUUGCGAGCGAAAGAAUGAAGUGAGAGAAACGAGCGAAGCGAGCGGCGAUGCGAGUGAAGGAGCGGAGUGAGAGAAAUGACCGAAAGAACGGAGUAAGAGAAACGAGCGAAAGAACGGAGUGAGAGAAACGAGUAAAGCGAGCGGAGCGAAUAAAAGAGCGGAGUGAGAGAAACGAGCGAAACUAGCGAAGGGCUUAACCCUUUCGAUAUGGCUAUAUCUUUCGCGAGUAUGCUUCCGCUAUAUAUAUAUAUAUAUAGAUACUCGAGUCGCGAAUGAGAUUCUAUGAUAUGAGCCAGUUGCAACGUACAUUUUACCGUGGAAUGGGUAUAACAUUUGAUAUUCGGUAGAAUAAUGUAAAUUAUAGAUAAAUUGUUUAUAAAAAGGAUAAGACAUUACAAUGUAAUAUAUUUUAAAUUAUUCAGAUUUAAAAAAUUGUUUAAUAAUAUAAUUUCGAUGAUAGGUGAUUAUAAUCACCCGUAGGACACAGUGAGUGUACGAUGAUGAGUGACUAUAGUCAACGGUAUUAUCGAAAGGGUUAAACGAGGUCGGUAAGGCGUCAAGUAUCCGCGCCAAGUAACGAAAUAGCCGGAGUCUAUGUACUGCCACACUGUCUAUUACUGUGAUCAAAAAGUAUCCGAACUUUAUUUUUUAAAAACUGCGGGUAAACUGUAAAUCAAAUCCGUUUGCUUUCUUAAGUCGGUACACAUGUCCUCCACAUUUGGUGAAAAAAUCAUGGCGUUCCUUCAAGCCGUUUGAAAGUGGCAGUUGUUUAUGUCAGUGAAGAUUGUUGUGCACGGCGAUUUUUACGAUGUCGAAAAAUAUGGAGCAAAGGAUUUGUUUGAAAUUUUGUGUUGCGAACGAAAUUUCGUUCACAAACGCAUUCAAAAUGUUGCGAAAAGCUUAUGACGAUUAUUGUUUAUCGAAAACAAGUACGUUUGAGAAGUUUAAGAAGUUUCAAGAAGGACGAGAAUCCGUUGAAGAUGACCCACGCUCUGGAAGACCAUCAACGUCAACGGAUGACGCUCACAUUGAGAAAGUGAAAGAAUUGGUGCUCUAAAACCGUCGAUUGACUGUGCGAGAGCCUGAGCAGAACAUCGCCCCAUAGUCGUAUUAAAACCCCAUCUGGCUUCCAAAUUUCAACUAGGGUCCGGAUAACUUUAUCGGAUCCGGCACGUAAUAAGGAGUGAAACGCACUGCUGCAUAAUGCCCUGAAAUUGCUUGAAAUCGAGAAACCUGAUCAAAUGUCCAUCAGGACCAAAUCAGGCAUCCAAAUAAUGACGUCAUCGCUGGUCAGGGUAUAAUCCGGAAAAUAUUGCAAGACAAUUACCACAUUCCCACCGGAUAAGGACCACUCAUAAUGUCUUCUUAUGGCUUGCCUAAUCAUGUCAUAUCAUAAAAAAUUGUCGUAUUUGAUUCCUGCUCGGGAGAUAGCAGAUGAAGCUGGAAUAUCAUUUGGAUCGUACCAGCAUAUUUUGUCCAAUGUACUGGACAUAAAUCGGGUCGCAUCGUGCUUAAUUCCGAGAAACCUGAAUUUUCUCCAAAAAGAUAAUCGACUGUUGGUAUCGUCUGAGAUGAUUUCCACGAGAGAUGAUUUUUUUUUUUCAUACACUUUAGCGGAGCUAUUUAACACUAUCACGACUUCCUUCCGGCAAUUUUAUCCAGAGACAGCACAUACAUGAAACGGAUCAUAACUGAUGAUGAAACAUGGGUUUACCAAUACGACGUCGAAACCAAAGCAACAAUUAUUGAAAUGGCGUUUGAAAAAUGAAGCAAGACCGAAGAGAGUUCGCCGUUUGCAGUCAAAAGUCAAGAUUAUGCUCACGGUUCUCAUCGCGGUAUUGUGCACCAGGAAUUCUUUCUAACUAGUCAAAAAGUCAAUGCAAAAUACUACUUGUCCGUCACGAUGAAUUUGCGCGAAGCAAUAAGAAACGACCGGGAUUGUGGGGAAACAACUCGUGGAUUUUGCAUCACGACAACACACCAUUCG